rnacentral:rRNA from 1 species
CACGUAGGGCGCAAGCGUUGUCCGGAAUUAUUGGGCGUAAAGAGCUCGUAGGCGGUCUGUUGCGUCCGCUGUGAAAACCCGGGGCUUAACCCUGGGCUGGCAGUGGAUACGGACAGACUAGAGGUAGGUAGGGGAGAAUGGAAUUCCCGGUGUAGCGGUGAAAUGCGCAGAUAUCGGGAGGAACACCGGUGGCGAAGGCGGUUCUCUGGGCCUUACCUGACGCUGAGGAGCGAAAGCGUGGGAGCAAACAGG